ACCUGACCGCGGACACCCCUGCCGAGGGAGGGAGGCCUCGGGAUGACAGGCGCGCCGUCUCCCCUCACCUCUGCACACACUCCACCCAUCCACGACUCCACCCCAGAUCCCGCGCCGCUCCGAGGUCCCCACCCCUGGGACGAGGGGAAGCGGGACUAAAACGUCUACAGCCCCACCCGGCUCCCGCGGCUACCAGUGACCCAGAAGGUGCAACUGACCAAACGCAGCGACUCAACCGACUCUGCUCUCCCCAGACUCGCAGCUAUGGCAACUUGAACUAGCCGCCCAGCCACAGCGAGAGUACAAGACCCCGCUGCCGCCGCUUGGCCCUCUGGGAGUUGUAGUCCAUCUCGGCCUCACCAUCAAGGAGUUACCAAGGGAGAGGAUCCGGAAAAGGAACUACAAAUCCCAGGAUGACAUACAGCUGGCCUUCGGGUAACUUUCCCGGAAAAGAAGCCUGAUCCCUCGGCCGCGCCCUCUUGCCCUGCUGUAUUUUUUUUUUUAAAGGACGAGCCUCCUUUGUAGGAGGCAAACUCCAGAUAGAAAGUGAAUAAAAAUGCUUCCUUAACCUUGACUGUAAUUUUACUCCCUGGGGAACAAAAGGAGUCCCCGAGGACUACGCGUCCAGUAUAUUGUUCCAAAGACUCACAAAUUCUUAGAACCGGACGGGAACAGAGAAGAUUAUGUAGUCCAACCUGUUUGGCCUGGAAAGAAGAAGGGACUUGCCUAAGAUCCUAUGGCUCAUUCCCGGCACACCGAAAGUAGAUAUGAGGCUGUCAGCUCAUUACUGCUGCUACUUCAGUCUAGGUGUCAUCCCCUCACUCUAGAACAUAAAAGAAAUGUUUUCCACUCAGGGGAGUUGGUUUCAGUCACGAAGAGAAUGAAAACUUCAAUAAAAAAACUGAACUUUGGAAAAACUAAGAAGUAACAAA